CGCCAUGGCCGCCGGGCGGGCCUUCCUCGGCGCGCCGUGCUCCUCCCUCGCCGCCGGCGCCCGCCGCCUUGCCUUCGCUUCCCCUUUGCCGCGGACCCUCACCCCCGCGCUCCGCUGCGGCGUUCGCGGUCGCUGCAUCGCUUCCGCCUCCUCGUCCCCCGACGCGGCCUCCUCGCCCGAGCCAUACGUGCUCACCACGCCGCUCUACUACGUCAACGCUCCGCCGCAUAUGGGAAGCGCCUACACCACUAUCGCGGCGGACGCCAUCGCCCGCUUCCAG
rnacentral:lncRNA from 1 species